rnacentral:rRNA from 1 species
UACGUAGGGGGCAAGCGUUGUCCGGAAUCAUUGGGCGUAAAGAGCGCGUAGGCGGCCCUGUAAGUCCGCUGUGAAAGUCAAGGGCUCAACCCUGGGAUGCCGGUGGAUACUGUGUGGCUAGAGUACGGAAGAGGCGAGUGGAAUUCCGUGGUGUAGCGGUGGAAUGCGCAGAUAUCAGGAGGAACACCAAUAGCGAAGGCAGCUCGCUGGGACGUUACUGACACUGAGGCGCGAAAGCGUGGGGAGCGAACAGG